AGGGGGAAUGGUCGGGAUAGCUCAGUUGGUAGAGCAGA
rnacentral:tRNA from 1 species